AGUCGAACGCUUCUUUUUCCACCGGAGCUUGCUCCACCGGAAAAAGAAGAGUGGCGAACGGGUGAGUAACACGUGGGUAACCUGCCCAUCAGAAGGGGAUAACACUUGGAAACAGGUGCUAAUACCGUAUAACAAUCAAAACCGCAUGGUUUUGAUUUGAAAGGCGCUUUCGGGUGUCGCUGAUGGAUGGACCCGCGGUGCAUUAGCUAGUUGGUGAGGUAACGGCUCACCAAGGCCACGAUGCAUAGCCGACCUGAGAGGGUGAUCGGCCACAUUGGGACUGAGACACGGCCCAAACUCCUACGGGAGGCAGCAGUAGGGAAUCUUCGGCAAUGGACGAAAGUCUGACCGAGCAACGCCGCGUGAGUGAAGAAGGUUUUCGGAUCGUAAAACUCUGUUGUUAGAGAAGAACAAGGAUGAGAGUAACUGUUCAUCCCUUGACGGUAUCUAACCAGAAAGCCACGGCUAACUACGUGCCAGCAGCCGCGGUAAUACGUAGGUGGCAAGCGUUGUCCGGAUUUAUUGGGCGUAAAGCGAGCGCAGGCGGUUUCUUAAGUCUGAUGUGAAAGCCCCCGGCUCAACCGGGGAGGGUCAUUGGAAACUGGGAGACUUGAGUGCAGAAGAGGAGAGUGGAAUUCCAUGUGUAGCGGUGAAAUGCGUAGAUAUAUGGAGGAACACCAGUGGCGAAGGCGGCUCUCUGGUCUGUAACUGACGCUGAGGCUCGAAAGCGUGGGGAGCAAACAGGAUUAGAUACCCUGGUAGUCCACGCCGUAAACGAUGAGUGCUAAGUGUUGGAGGGUUUCCGCCCUUCAGUGCUGCAGCUAACGCAUUAAGCACUCCGCCUGGGGAGUACGACCGCAAGGUUGAAACUCAAAGGAUUUGACGGGGGCCCGCACAAGCGGUGGAGCAUG
rnacentral:rRNA from 1 species